GGGAGGUAGUGACAAUAAAUAACAAUACGGGGUCCUUUCGGGUUUCGUAAUUGGAAUGAGUACAAUUUAAAUCUCUUAACGAGGAACAAUUGGAGGGCAAGUCUGGUGCCAGCAGCCGCGGUAAUUCCAGCUCCAAUAGCGUAUAUUAAAGUUGUUGCAGUUAAAAAGCUCGUAGUUGAAUUUCGGGAUCAGUACGCUGGUCGUGCCUUCGGUAUGAACUGGUGUCACUGGUUCCUCCCUUCUGAAGAACCGUCAUGCCAUUCAGUUGGUGUGGCGGGAAAUCAGGACUGUUACUUUGAAAAAUUAGAGUGUUUAAAGCAGGCUCGCGCUUGAAUACAUUAGCAUGGAAUAAUGAAAUAGGACGUUUGACCCUAUUUUGUUGGUUUCUAGGAUCGACGUAAUGAUUAAUAGGGAUAGUUGGG
rnacentral:rRNA from 1 species